GUAGUUAGCCGGGGCUUUCUCCUUGGCUACCGUCACUUCUUCGUCACCAAGAACAGAGGUUUACAAUCCGAAAACCUUCUUCCCUCACGCGGCGUUGCUGGGUCAGGCUUGCGCCCAUUGCCCAAUAUUCCCCACUGCUGCCUCCCGUAGGAGUCUGGACCGUGUCUCAGUUCCAGUGUGGCCGAUCAGCCUCUCAGCUCGGCUACCCAUCGCGGACUAGGUGGGCCGUUACCCCGCCUACUAUCUAAUGGGACGCGAGCCCCUCCUUCUGCGGAUUGCUCCUUUGACCUCUCUGCCAUGCGACAGUGUGGUCUUAUGCGGUAUUAGCACCUGUUUCCAAGUGUUAUCCCCCUGUCUGGGACAGAUUGUUCACGCGUUCCUCACCCGUCCGCCGCUAAACAUCCUCAACCGAAGCUAAGAAUGUCCGCUCGACUUGCAUGUGUUAGGCACGCCGCCAGCGUUCGUCCUGAGCCAGAAUGAACCCUGA
rnacentral:rRNA from 1 species